AAAGAGCUCAGGGAACGCUAAGUUGCAAAAAGCCCGUGGGUUUGAAUGGCGAUGUUUUGUACAUGACCCACGAGUGCCACAACGUUUGCUCAAGCUGAGUGUGUGUCAGUCUGUUCCACUGGGUAGCAGGACCAGGGUCACCCGGUUUUUAGAGGAGGGACUGGAACGAUAAUUACCGAUCACACCCCAGAGGCACAGAGCUCUCUACGCAUUUACAGUAAUAGAUGCCGUCUAAUCAAUCCCCAUCUGACAGCAUCAGCAGCCUCGUUCUAUAGAUGACGCCAAGGUUCUCCAGAGAGGGGAAGUCACUUGCAAUCAAUAGCAGAGCUAGGCUAAGGACUCAGGGGGUUCCCAGCUCCCAGUCCCAUGCUCAGACCACAUUUAACCGCUCACACUAGUUCUGCUUUUGCCAGUCUCUCCCACCUGCGCCCUCUUUAGCUUGUUACCUAGAGCAAAGGGCCUGAAUUAAAAUAUACAAGCGGGAUCAAAUCUGGAUCCAUAAUUUGCAGCUUCCAAGGGCCAUUUCCAGAACACAUCAUCUGAACAAUCCUGCGCAUUGGGGGAAUAUCCGGAUCCCUAGUUAUGACUGUGGGGUGAUGUGGGGAGAAGGGGUUGGCAGCCAUCCGUGGUUGCUGCCAUUUGAACAGGGUUUGCUGUUAUCAAAGCAAACACUGCACAUACAAGCUUUCAAUGGGAGUUCCCAGACGACUGCUAUUCCUCAGAUCAUCCAGUUUUAUUCCCUGAGCCACUAUGGGGACCUGGGACUUUUCAAUGAUCUUCUCUCUUUGGAACCACAGGGGCUCCCACAGCAUACAGCACAGCUGCCAGUUGCUUGGGUUUCCCCGUGGAAAUAGCAAUAUGGCUGCACAACAGUAUUAUUUAUCUGUACGGUGGUAGCACCUAGGAUUCCCAGGCAUGGACAAGGACCCGGAUCCUGUGGUGCUUAGGGGCUGUACAAGCGCAGAAUAAAACCGGUCCUUGCCCCAAAAAGCUGGCAAUCUAAGUAAAGCGAAGAUUGCAGGCUGUCCUGGAGAUGCGUGUGCCCUGAGGCCUCUUCAGUGCUGCUUGGGAUGCAGGAGGAAGGGGUAAUACGUACCCAAGCGAGAAGUGAACCCACCAUAUGGGACUCAUGCCCCAGCUUCUCUCAGCCUACAGACUCCCUAAGAAAAGGUCCCAGCCACACACAUGCCUCUGCUGGGGAUUUCCCGCAGCUGCGCGGAGAUCCCCACGGCUUCUUGGCAGCGGGUAUUGAGGGCUGCGUUGCCUAUGAACUGCAGAAGGCCUCUGCUCCCCCCCCAGCUCCAGCUUCACCCCCCACCUCUGUUUGCACAGAAGAAUUUGUUCCAGUCUGCACUUUCCCCAUAUGCCUCCCACUAUUAACCUCUUUGUGGCAACGUAGGGACCUGUUGCUUCCUAGCUGCGCCAGCUCAUUCCACUACAUUGUAUUAUAGGAAACUGCUGCAGGAGUGGACGCCUUGCUCUAGUCGCACAAUUUGAUUUUAUCCAACAGCUCAGCUAGGAGGCUUUGAGAGAGUCAGCAAGGGGAGGACAAAGCGGGGAUGGGACACUGAGUCUUUCACCUCGAGGUCACCAGUUCAAAUCCAGCUCAGGCUGGCAGAGCAGUUGGGUCUUUGGACAAAGACCCAGAUCACAAUGGAGAUGACAGCCUCAGGGGAGAACCAAAAGAUGCUGUCAGACACAGGGACCAAAGAGCCUCUACAGCAGCCCAGGUGUGUCCUUUUACUCAGUUAUGGUUUGCUGAUCAUCAGCUGCGUGCGUGCCCGACACUGCAUGGGACACACAGGGAUGUAAAUCUUUUACAGUCUUCAGCUGCAGAACCUACCUCUUUGGCCCACGCUGUUCCAGCUCCUGCAUUUAGCACUGGUAUGCCUUGGUUCAGUUCCUGAUGGUAGCCAGCUCAAACACUUGAGGUCCCUGCAAUGGUGGAGAGAAAAUCCCUUCCUAAGCUCACAUGUGGGGCUUGGUGGAGUCUGGUGCGUGUGAGCCAGAGUCACUGGAGCUCAGCAGUUCUUUCUCGUUACCCCAAGGUAACGCCUGUCUCUUCCUCCGACCCUCCAGAGCGAUGCUCAAAGGUGUGGGAACUGGGAGCUUAACUGUCAGAUGUGCCUUGGAAAAUUCCAUCCUAAAUCCACAUUUAGGCACCCUAAUAAAGUGGCUUGAUUUUCAAAAGUGCGGCGUGCCCAGCAGCUCCCACUGAAACUCAUACUCUACAUGUCUGGCAGGGGGGGUUG